AUUAUUCCUUACAUUAAAUACUUUCUUUUUAGUACCUAUGAUUUACUGAACGCAGUUACAAUGCAAUAAUUGCGAUUUUGUACAACCAAAUCUUUAAUUGACCUAAUAGUGACCGUUAAGAGUUUAUGGAUAAUCUCGAUUUUGACACGUUUCCUUAAAUCAAAGAACGUGCCACGUACCACAAACGGCGGGGUAAAUAUAGAUGAAAGAUUGGUGUUGCUUUUAAAAUUACCAGAAUAAGGCUGUCGGUGUGUUCUCGGCGAAAGUACUGUUGUUUAUUGUUAUUUAUUUUACUUGUGUGUACUGUUGAUGUAUCAUUAAGAAUAAAUAAAUAAAGGUAACAAGGAAGUGCGGGGUGCCGCGACCGACGGCUCCCGUGAUUGAUCGGUCCGAUGUGACCUGGUUCCAGCGAAAGGUAACGUAUACGUGAUUGAUAGGUCCGAUGUGACGUGAUCUCAGUGAAAGACUGUAGACGUGAUUGGUCGGUCGGAUGUGACCUAGUCUCAGAAAAAGGUAACGUAUACGUGACUGAUCCGUCGUAUGUGACCUGAUCCCAGCUAAAAGUAACGUAGACGUUAAUGAUCGGUCGGAUGUGACGUGGUCUCAGCGAAAAGUAACGCAGACGUGAUUGAUCGGUCCGAUGUGACGUGAACUCAGUGAAAGACUGUAGACGUGAUUGGUCGGUCGGAUGUGACCUAGUCUCAGAAAAAGGUAACGUAUACGAGACUGAUCCGUCGUAUGUGACCUGGUCUCAGCGAAAAGUAACGUAUACGUGAUUGGUAAUUCCGAUGUGACGUGAUCUCAGUGAAAGACUGUAGACGUGAUUGGUCGGUCGAAUGCGGUAACGUUUACGUGACUGAUCGGUCGUAUGUGACCUGAGCUCAGCGAAAAUUAAAGUAGACGUUAAUGAUCGGUCGGAUGUGACGUGGUGUCAGCAAAAGGUAACGCAGACGUGAUUGAUCGACCCGAUGUGACGUGAUCUCAGUGAAAUAUUGUAGACGUUAUUGGUCGGUUGCAUGUGACCUAGUGUCAGAAAAACGUAACGUAUACGUGACUGAUCGGUCGUGUGUGACCUGAUCUCCGCGAAAAGUAACGUAGACGUUAAUGAUCGGUCGGAUGUGACGUGGUCUCAGCGAAAGGUAACGCAGACGUGAUUGUUCGGUCGGAUGUGACGUGGUUCCAUCGAAAGGUAACGUAUACGUGAUUGAUAGGUCCGAUGUGACGUGAUCUCAGUGAAAGACUGUAGACGUAAUUGGUCGGUCGGAUGUGACCUGCUCUCAGAAAAAGGUAACGCAUACGUGACUGAUCCGUCGGAUGUGACGUGCUCUCAGCGAAAAGUAACGCAGACGUGAUUGAUCGGUCCGGUGUGACGUGAUCUCAGUGAAAGUUAACUUUAUUUGUACUAUAGUGAUGUAUCUGUUUGUUUCCUUAAUAAAUAAAUAAAUGAAAGACUGUAGACGUGAUUGGUCGGUCGGAUGUGACCUAGUCUCAGAAAAAGGUAACGUAUACGUAACUGAUCCGUCGUAUGUGACCUGGUCUCAGCGAAAAGUAACGUAGACGUUAAUGAUCGGUCGGAUGUGACGUGAUCUCAGUGAAAGACUAGACGUGAUUGAUCGGUCGCAUGUGACCUGCUCUCAGCGAAAGGUAACGUAGACGUGAUUGAUGGGUCCGAUGUGAAGUGGUCUCAUCAAAAGGUAGGUCACAAAGAAUCGUGUAUGCACGGUUUCAGUGAUUAUUUAUGUCUUAAUGUGACCGGCACCCGUGAUUGGUUGGACGAAUGUAACGUUAUCUUGGUGCGGCGCAGAUACGCAACAUGACGACGAUAUUUGUCAAAAUUUUUGUUACAUGAAGAGUGAUUUUGAUAAUAAAGGUGAUUGUCGUGAAACUUUAACUGUGGCCGAUUAUAUAAAUAUUAUUUUAA